AAUUAAUAAACUGAGGCUGAUCUAACCAACAAUAUUUAAUAAUAUUGUGCAUUAAAUGUUAUUUUUGCGAUAUAAGAAAUGAGAUUGUGGAAAACUGGAAAUUAUGGAAAAUCUAUAUGCGAAUCGCGAUAAUGCGAUAAAAUCUACUAUAAUUUAUGUUUUGUAUCGUUUUCUUUAUAUAGAUAUU
rnacentral:sRNA from 1 species